CUAGGGCAGGGGGUAACACAGGAGGUAAUUGUUCUGCUCUACUCAGUACUGGUGAGGCAUCAGCUGGAGUGCUGUCUCCAGUUUUGGGUGCUACAC